GAAAACUCCUUUCAUAAUCGUAUUGCUAGUUCGCUCGUGAUGGGAGAAAUGUCAAGUGCAAUCUAAACGAUUACAAAGAUAGAGACGUGCGUAAGACGGCUCGGAUAUCGGUAUCGCGUCGCUAGGUUAGAACGCGCUACAUAGUUCUAACCUAGAUACAUGCGGCAUAUGCUUUCUCGGACGUGUCGCAAAAUCCAAACAUGGAAUAUCGACAAUUCUUUGACACAUCUACAACUAAUCGAGGAACAUAUAACUCG
rnacentral:lncRNA from 1 species